rnacentral:lncRNA from 1 species
UUUUCUUCCUCUUUGGGUUUUCCUUACCACUCACUUAGCUGCUCUGGGAAGAUGGGCAGUACUUACACAAUAUUGUCAGAUUUGAAGGUAGAAGUUAGUUUUCAUCAGGCCAGCAUAUAAUAGCAAUGUUCAUUAUGUCCCAAAGAUAGAUUUCUAAUAGAUUAUACCUUUUAAAAUGUAAUCACUACAAAAUGGCUAGCAUUCUGCUUUAUUAAUUAGACAAUUUUCUCAAAUGUUAGAUCCAAUACUAAAAUGUUACCCUCUAACACAGUGGUUCUCAAAGUUCCUAAUGUUUCGGCCCUUUAAUACAGUUCCUCAUGUUGUGGUGACCCUUAACCUUAACGGUAUCUUGUUGCUACUUCAUAUCUGUAAUUUUGCUACUAUUAUAAAUUGCAAUAUAAGCAUCUGAUAUGCAGCUCCUAUGAAGUGGCCAUUCUAACCCCUCUCAUACCCCCUAGGAUGAGAGCCACUGCUCUAACACGAGGAAGCUCCCAUGUUACACUUUACAUUAGCAUAUUUGCUUUUUAGUCUUGGAAACAUCAUUGCUUCUCUCCUCCUGGCAACUUUCCUGGUCUUGGUGUCUAGUGACAGUGGCCAUUCUGUGCAUGGAUGAAAGAAGCUGUAGAAUACAGACCUAGAUGAAAUCUCCCCAUUAUUCCAAGUAAAGUGGACAAUGUGCCUUCUCCAGGAUGAAAAGAAAGCUAACUAAAAAUAAUUUUCUUGAGACCUCCAAGUAGAGCUAACGUUUUUAGCCAACUAUUUUAACACAAGGACAAUUCUAAAAGGAAUGAAAACUUAAAACCAAAAUUACAAAUUUCAAUCUAUUUUAAACUUUAAUUUGUGCAUUUGUGGUAAUUUAUGACUGCAAAACCCCCUUUUUCUUAGAAUGAUGUAAAGGCACAUUUCAUUUGGAUGCAUAGGGUACCAUUCUAAAGUAUCCACUUUCCUUACAAAGUGCUUGAGCAGUCAAUACACAUACAGUAAUAGCAAAAUCUAUUUACACUCUGAAAAUUUAAAAUCUGGCUAAAAUAUAUAUAUAUAUUUAAACUACAGAAAAAUGAGUGCUUUUUUUUUCAGCAUAAUUGUGUGACUAUGCCCUGACCUCUAAAUUUUUUAAUGAUUGACUUCAAUUAAAAAAAUUUUUGUACACUGUGUAUAUAACUCUAUGUCAGUUUUUAAUGCUAAAAGCCCAUUUGAAAAGUUGCUUUCUAUGCAUAUUUCAGAACCAACAAAGGUAUGCAGACUGUACCUCAAAAGUAGUUAGUGUUUUAUUUUCAGACUGAGUUAACACUGGUCAAUUAAAGCUAGACAAUUACGCUAUUUUUUUUUUUUCUAUUGUUCUCUUCCAAGGCAACUAACUGGCAUUUUAAAGCAAUUUACAGCAACAUAUUGCUUCUCUUUUUAGAAAAUUUUCUUCCAAAGGAUCUUAAGUGAAAAAUAAUAAUGAAUUUGGAAGGUAAUAUAAAGAAUCUCUGGACAAUUGUAAUCAUUCUCAGAGUACAAUAACAACAGGCCAAUGUAUGUCAGCAAAGCUGUUUCAAGCUCAACUCUUCAUUAUUUGUGUACUUUCCUGCUUCUCAAUAACGCAGAUUUGGAAAAUUGUAAGAGAUGAGCUCACUGUGAUUACAUGGUUAAUUCGAGUGUGGUUGUUACCAUUCUGCUGUUCCUGAGGUAUCAUGGCCCUAACAUGCUAAGCAAAGAGUUAUUGAUAUUACUGAACUGAGGGAGAACAACAGAGUGACAGCCUAGGAGAAAAAAGGGAAAAACAAAACAAAAAUCUAAUAAAAUUCCAGCCCAGUGAAGAUCAUGAUUUGCAAACAGGCAUAUGGUAAGAGCGAUACAAAGCCAGGAACGGAUCCUCUGAGGAUGCGUAGAGCAUUUGAUCAAAUUAUUUGUGAGACUUUUGAGGUACAGCUUUAGUGUUAUAAUAACUUUUUAUAAAAUAUAGACUGUUUUAUCAAAAAUAUUUAUACAUUCUGUUACAAUAUAUUGCUUUAGCCCUCAGUAACUGCCAAUAUAAAAUCUGGAUCCAGCGGCCUAAAAUGUACAAAUGCACUUAAUGGAAAUGCUGGAGUUGGAGGUGUCUGCUUGGCCACUGUACAAAAGUGAUGACGUGGUGAAAUUAAAUAAUAUGCCUACAACACAGAAUACAUUACAACUUGUACAUAUACAUGUUCACAGCAUGUAUACCAUGAUAAUCUCUAUGGUUUAACAAAGAUAGAGUUUCCUUCUACAGCAGACACAAGAACAAGAUGUCUAGGUUGAAAUACGUGUAGAAUGCAUAUCAAUAAAGGGUUAAUCAGGUUCACUGACUUUGGAAGACCUGACUGAACAUCCUCCACGGUGCCUUGACUUUGGGAAUGCAUAGAGUUAGCAUGGUAUCUUGGUUCCAGCUGCUUAGAAGUCCUCAUUGUUACUGUUAAGUGAAUGCUGAUGUCCCUAUCUUUUUGCAGCAUUGUUUAAUACACAAACUCAUUUGGCAGGUAGCUCUGCUGGAAAGCUAGGAGGCUCUGCUACAUGGUUGGUAAACUUAAGGCAAUAAAGUGUUCUCCUGAUAAAUAUAGAAAAUUCAUCAAAUAGACAUCAAUACAUUCUCAUUCUUUUCUUUAAAUCAAGCCACCAAAGGUGUACAAACUGCCACAUUUUUUCAUAUUAUAGUGAUUUCUUAAAAAAAUAAUUGCCUUAGUGAAAUAGAAUCACACUUUUUAUAUUACGAGUAAUAGCAUCCAAAGCCCUAUUUUUUCUUUUGUAAAAUAUAGUUAAGUGAUUAAUCUUCCUUCCACUUAAGGCAGGCCUAGGGCAAACAUGGGGACUAUAAAAAAGUGGUUCUUCUUCUUUUUAAAAAUAAGAGUAUUGAUGUAAAAGUAUUUAUUUGUAAUGGAUUUCCAUGGCCAAUGUUCACUCAGCCUAAACUCCAUGAAACUGCUUCCAGUGUUCAGAUUUACGUUGAAAACAUUAAGGUAUAAAACAGUACUGUAACCACAUCUUCAUGUGCUUUAUAUAAUCUCAGAAGCUCCUGGUGGCACGGAAAGGAAAUGCAGGGCUGCUGUUUUCAAGAGGUCUUCUUGUUGGUCAGUCUGCUUGGUCUCAGGGUCUAGAAACUUAACACCAAUCAGCAACGUAGUCAAAAUCGUGGAACAUCUCCUGCUCCUCUUCCAAGAGUAUCCUUGGUUCUCGAGGUGGAGUCAGAAUAGGUGCUUCUGAGGUAAAUUCAUCAUCAAAGUUACUAACAUCUUCCCGUCCUCUAAUGGUAGGUACAAAUGGUGGCUUUACUUUUUUGUCCAUUAGAGCACUCCAGUCGGUUAGCUAGAUCACAAAAUAUAAAUCAGCCGGUUUAGUUUUGUGUUCCCAGUCACUCAAGUUUCAUAAAAGAACUCUGAGCUUUUACACUUACCCGGAAAAACGGGUGCUUCUUGACAUCCUCUGCAUCCUUCUCACCAGCUCCCAGGCGCCGCUCAGGAUUUCUCCUUAGCAGCUAGGAAGUUAAGAUAAAACCAACAUAAUGUGUUUCACCAACAGUGACUCUCACUACUUUCAAAGACUUAGAAUGUUUUGUUUAGAUUUGUCUAAAGCAUGCAAUAUCUAUGAAUUAAAAACAACUUCAAAAACUCAACUGGGAAAUUCUUUUCAACAAAAAACCUAAGUUUAAAUAAAAAAAAUCUUGAUCC